GAAAUUCUUCCCGGUGAGGCCCUGGCACAGGUUGCCCAGAGAAGAGUGGGAGGCUCGAGACGCAAUACCAGCGAGGAGCGAUGGCGCUGCAGGACGCGCGGUAUCACCGGAGAGCUGUGUCGUGGCCAGGAACAUACGGCGUUGAGUAAUGACAGAUUGUUCUCCAAAACAGAGAGGCUGCGUGCUAAUUUCUGCAGGGAAAUAGCUGAAUUUGGGGGGGGGGAGCUGUGCACAGGUCAGCCACUGCUGCUCCGCACGUCAGCAGGGAACCGCCGGCACCGGGGCUUGCCAGCGCCAGAGGAGCGUUUCUGACCCCUCGCUCGUGCAGCGUUGCGGUUUGUUGCUCUCCAAACAGACAAUGAGGUAUUUUUGUCCGUGGGCAGAGGAUAAACCUGCUCAGCAUCUUCUGAGGACUGCUUCCCAUCUCCCUGGUCCAGAGUGUCUGGGCAGCGUUGAGGUCCAAGAUCCGGAUUUCAGACACGAAAUGGGAACCGCGGUCUCUUUUAAACAGCGCUUAGUUUAAACCCUGAGCACUCAAUUGUCAAAAUUCUGGUAUUCAAAGUUUCUUUUCCCCAAAUCAGGAAGAAUAGACACAAUUUCCCGCAGUACCGGGAGGUAUUUUGGGGGCCCCUCGAACAGGAGCGGGGGUCUCGCCCCGUUCCCUCCCGGCGUGGCACGGGCUGAUGCCGCAGCGUUUGGGUGCUGCAGCGUGUCGGAGGAGGGGUGCGCCCGUCCCCCCGCCCUCGCCGCCGCGGAGCAGGGGCUGGCUGAGGAGCGGCCGCGGAGGUUUCUGCUCCCCGAGUUUGCUGAGCUUCGCGCUUGGAACAGAAAGAUCUCCCAGCACCGUCCCAACGUGCUCCGCGGUGGAUGUUAAACAAUCGCGUAAUUAAAGGUGACGGAAAGGUGUCUCAUUAGAUUAGCCUUCGUAUUUGCCGUGUCUUUAAUCUCUCGUGGUGCCUUGUGCUGAGACCGCGCCAGGACCCAGCCGGCAGCCGGGGAGAGGCCAGAGCAUCGCUCUUCAUCCUGCACGAGGCAAAACCUUGAAAACACAGGACCUUGAAGUGAAGACCAUUUCACUCUCGGCCUUUCGUGUGCUCUGCCACGCUGCAGCGGGUAGGAGGUGGCAUCGUGCCUGCAUGGGACGUUCCUGCUGCCGGACAGCGUUGCACACCUGGGUUUCACUACGUUUGCCAAACCCAAGAAGCAGCAGAGCUGCUGGAUCAUCAGGUGACGUGGGUUAAUUUGGAAAUAUGAAAGCGUCCCACCACACCGUGGAGAAGGCUCCGUGGCUGCAGCGAGGGGGCGAGGCGCUCUCCAGGGAAGCUGAAAAGCCCAUUUUACCAGAAUCUGGUGGGGGUUUUGUAAUACCCUGGCGUUUCUUCACCGCCUAAGACAGGAUGGAAUUGAGACGUGCAAACAGCAGUGUUUGUCAUCAUCGCACUUCAAACGCCUCCGCUUGGGGCUGGGGUGGAGAAGCGGGUACCUCUCGCUGGACCCUUGCCACUCUCCUGCAAGUAAACGCGCGUCGAGGUUCGUGAGAUGCCCCGGGCCUCCGUCUCCCCGUGCAAGAGCUGGUGCGGGACUUCGACGCGCCAGGCGGGGCUCUGGCAGGAUUUGGCUGCAGAAGGGCGGUCUUGCGAAGCAGCGCGUGGGUUGUAACCUCACCCCUAGGGCUGGAUGGGGCUCCUCUCCACCGAAGGAUCUUUUCUGUAUCGAAAAGGAAUCUCACGGGGCAGGAAACCCCUAUGAAUGUGCAACACCCCUCGAACAGCUCAAGUGCAGCUUGCCCUGCGUAGCUCAGUGUUGUUCCCCAAACAGCAGCGGUUAGAGCUGCGACUGCGUAAUAAAGUGCCUUUGACGUCAGGAGUGCGACCUCGGUCACGCUAGAGCCAGCUCUCGGGGCGAGCGACACCGAAACCUGGACCAGCGGGCAUGAAAGCCUCCCAAGUGAGAAACUGGCUGUAAUUUCUUCUGACAAUUUAGCACAAACACGUCAAAGGAGCCGGCGUCCAGCACGGGAAUCGCAGCAGAAGAGCAAGUGAUGUCACAGGUGUCCCUGGGCGGCGCUGAGCUCCCCGUGCGUGAGCAGGUACCCCCAGCCUGACCUCGGUGCUGUCCCUGGCCUCCUCGCUCAGCACCACGUUUCCAGAGACACGAGCCAGGCUGCGGUACCAGCGCUGCUGGCUGAGCGCGUCCCGGGUGGAAGGGCGCUGGGGGGGACGCGGGUACCCGGCUGCGCUGGGCACGCUGCUCCGCCUCUGCCAGCAGACCUCGGGGAGGGAGGCGUGGGCGAGACGAGGCGGAACGCUCCGUGUGUCCGCGGUCCUGGGGAGGCUGGGGCCGCGGGCGGGGGGCAGCGACGUCGGUCCCGCUUCAGCUGCACGGCGGUUCCCACAGCAGCACAAAAGCUCCUCCAGCAUCUCCCGUCAGCCCCGUCCCCGGGGGCUGCUUUACGCAGCGGCCGUGACAAGAGGCUUUGGGAACGGUUACGGCUCCUCAGCCCUUCGCAGAGCCCGCUGCGCGGAGCGGCUAGAAAGAAUAUUGUGUAUGACCUUGGGUUUCUUCCUUUUCGUUCUUCAAGAGGGAAGGAGCCGGGCUUGAGGGUUGUUUGCUACUUCUGGAACGUUUUCUGUUCGUACCGUCGGCUGCCUCCCCAGCAGGGGAAAUAGCGGGUCCUGACUUCCUUGCUUUUAAUCAAACCUGCGGAUGCAGGAAUGAAAAUUUAUUGUGAUUAUGAAAUCCCAGGAGCUGUAAUGUGAACUAUGCGUUUCUAGAACACGUUUGAAAUGUGAGAAAAACGUAUUUUAAAUCAUUCCUCUUUGAAGUACGGUAACAAAUUUUUGGCAUUUCAUAGAUGCAGCAGCAGCAAGCAGGGCAGGAUUUACAUCCUAUGCAUUCAGAACAACCGAACAAAUGGUUUUGAAAGCUCUGAAGUUAUGAGUACCAAAAGGAGCUAACAAAGUACGUGUUCCUUUCCUUGUGCUUUUGCAUUUCAGUGCUUACUCUUAAUUUUAAGCUAAAAGGAAAAAGAGAAAACUCUGCUAAUUGAGCUCUUCCUUCUUCCCAUGGGUGUAAGAAAUCACUCCAUCAGUGUCUCAGAAAUCCUGCAUUAGGUACAGGUGAGAAAGGGAACUUCCACGUAGCACACAUCCUAGUGCACAAACUGUAUUUCCUCUAAAAGAUACCAUUGUUACAGCAUAUUUAAUGCUAUAUAUUCCUGAUAUCCAUAUAGCUAUUGAUCAUCCUUGUGAAUCAAGAUUGAUUUUUUUCACCUUAAUGAAUUCUGCUUCACCGAUGGCGCUCUUCAUUCUGUCGGGGAAUAUGGAAUAUGAUUUAUUAUUAAAUAAAAUGGACAUGAUAAAGAGAUUAUGUAUAAAACAGAUGAUAUAGAUAUAGCUAUAUUGUGGAAAGCGACGCUAGCCUUUACUGGUAUCGUUACGCACCUGCAUUUAACAUUGUAGAUGGUGGUGGUUACCCUUUCUGCGUGAGCUCCUCAGGGCUGCGGGGCUGGCUCAGAUCUUUCCAUCCUCCUGCAUUCUGUAAUCUGGGGUCUCACGGUCGUCUCCCCCGCAAGACUCGGACAAGCUGGGUGCUUCAUCCCAGUCUCACCACGCUCACGCUGAUAUCAGUCCUUAAUGCCAAAGCAAGCGAGGCGUGGUACGGGAACAGCUAAAGUGCACGUAAUUACACCAAUAAACGGCUCGUAGAAAUAAGAUCAGAACCAGGCUGAUCAGAACACCCGUCUGUUGGUCACUUUUAUCUCUCGCCUUUGAACCUCUGCCAGCUCGGUAAGCGCUUUUGAGAGAAGAGAGUGAAAACCCAGCGCUGCUCC